rnacentral:lncRNA from 1 species
GCCGUCGCCGUCGCGCCGCCCUGUGCGCUUGGAGCAGUCGCGCCACCUUAACAACUAAAGGUAUUGCUCUAAUCUCUUUUAUUUGGCUUGGGCAGUGGGUAUGUAUGAAGAUUGACUGAAAUUGGCUUUGGGUUUUGUUGGAUUGAAGUUUAAUUUCGAAUUGGCAGUGGGUAUUUCAAAUUGGCAGUGACGUGGGUAUUUCUUUGAAUUGGGCAGUGGGUUUAUUUCAAUUUGUUGGUUUGGGCGGUGGGUAUUUUGAAUUGGGCAGUGGGUUUAUUUGAAUUGAAGUUUGAUUUAUGUUUUUUAUUUGAAUUGGCAGCCAUGAAUACUACAAAUUCUAGUUCUACAUCUUCUUCUACCACAUACCCUGUGGGAAGAGAAAGAGAAGGAGGAGGAGAAAGACGAUGAUGAGUGAAAAGGGCUACUAACAUUUUAUUGUGUUUUAUUAAGUAUUAUCUAUUAAGAUUG